UAUUAAACAUGAUUAAUUUCAUAAUUUUAAGUUUUGGUGUAUCACAGAACUUGUGGGGGGAGCUAUUUUAUCAGUUUGAUAAAUUUUGAUAUUAUAAUUGCUCUCGUAAUUUUAUCCUAGAGUUCAUCUUAAAAACAAAUUUUGUAAAUUCUAAGAUUGGCAGGUAAAUUAGUUUGAGGUGUAAAUUUAUUAGAUAAUUAUUUUUCGUAAUGUUAUUUAUUUGAGUUUUAUCAGAUCUGAUCAGAAUCUUGCAGAUUGCUUGACGAAAGGCCUGAAUAGGACUAAGGUCCUGGAGUCAUCGAGGGGGAUGGGACUUUGCCCGUAAAGGGCCUUCCUGCAGUGGGAACCCAACCUUUGUGAUAGGAGAUCUCUUGAAGAAGGUUCAAUGUGGUAAAAACAAGCUGCUAGACUGGCCAAAUAGCACUUUCUACAGUUUAUUUAUAGGAGCUUUAGCUCCAAUCCCAUCCCUAUGGUGAGUAGUGCUCUGUGUAGUGGAUUAGGUUGAGCUGAUAGCUCUUAAUGGGAUCCAAGGCGAUAAUUUUCACCAGAUGUGACUCUACACACAUCCCUGGAGAAAACCACCUAUAUAAGAGUAUCCGUAUGUGGCCGCGGCUAUGUGAAUGGGCUAUACAUAGAAACUCUUAUGAAAAAUCAAGGUACUGUGCAUGGCCAUUAACGCACAGACCCGCGACGGAGAAUUUUGUACUGUGUGUGUGGUAGUUGAAGUCAGGGACAAAGAAACGUAGUUCAAGACCUGGUUCACUACGAUUCCUUCUGAUGGAAACUGCUAACACUAAGUGAGAUUAAGUCCUUAAAGACACCUUACCUAUUACAUAGUAUAAACACUCGGUGACUAAUUGAUUUCUUUUCUUUGUUAUUUAAUUUUUUAUUUUUAUUUUAUUUUAUUUUAUUUUUGAAAAUUUUAAAUUUUGUAGGGAAUUGUUGGAUAAAAUCCAAAAUUUUAUUAUCUAUUUAUUUAUUUUAUUAUUAAUUUUAAUU
rnacentral:lncRNA from 1 species